rnacentral:rRNA from 1 species
GACGAACGCUGGCCGCGUGCUCAACACAUGCAAGUCGAACGGAAAUGCCCUUCUUUUGUGGGGUGCUCGAGUGGCGAACGACUAAGUAACCCGUGAUUAACCUGCCCUUGACUUUUCGAUAACUUCAGGAAACUCGGGCUCCUACCGGAUAGGAACUCCUGCUGCAUGGUGGGUGAUGGAAAGUUUCGUCGGAUGGGGAUGGACACACGGCGUAUCAGCUUGUUGGUGGGGUAUGGGCUUACCAAGGCUUUGACGGGUCGCCGGCCUGACAGGGUGACCGGCCACAUUGGGACUGAGAUACUGCCCAGACUCCUACGGGAGGCAGCAGUGGGGAAUAUUGCACAAUGGGCGGAAGCCUGAUGCAGCAACGCCGCUUGCGGGAUGACGGCCUUCGGGUUUUAAACCGCUUUCGCCUGUGGCGAAGCGUGAGUGACGGUAAUGGGUAGAGAAGCACGGGCUGACUACGUG